ensembl:lncRNA
CUCCAUUUCCCAAACCUGCCAUCUCCCAUUGACCUCAUGUUGCCAGCAAGUGACAGGAGCAGAGAGCAGCGCAGAGGCAGAAAAGCCUCUCUGAAGCCCAUGUACUUCCAGAGGCCACCAGAAGGUAAUGCAAUUUGGUAAAUGUUACCCAGCCCCGACUCUGUGCUGUGCACUGUGCUGGAUGCUGGGGACACAGGGAAGAUGUUUGAGCCUCAGGCUCUGCUCCAAGGAGUUUCCAUUCCACCCACAGGUCUGGCACCUUGGAAGGUGGCACAUGGGGGGAGUGGACGGGCGGACGAGGAACCCUCCACUUCCACGGCUCAGACACUGCCUGGGCGGGCCUGAGUCCACAGGUCUGUUUCUGAGGGUGGAGGAGAAGAACCAGCACCUGGGGGCUGGUAGGUGGUCAGUCAAGGCAUUCUAAGCUUGGGGCCAGAAAGCUGCAGGGGUCCUCGAAGGCUCGAGCGCUAGACAGAAGGGCUGGCUCCACGUCGGAAACACUGUGGGAUCCUGGGCACGUGAUUCUGUCUUGCUGGAAGUUUUCCCAUCUGUAAAACAAGGGGUUUGGAGUAAUUCAUAUCCGAGGUCCUUCCAGUACGCACACAGCGGUUGCGCUUUCCUGAAAGGCUGUAUGCAAAUGGAGUUCCGUAAACCAAACCGAAGUGGCUCUGAAGAGCGCCGCGUCUGCCGGCGCGCCCCUCCCCCGCCGGCGCUGCCGCGGGGACAGCCUGGACUUCCCCGCAGCGAAGCCGGCUGCGCGGCCGCCCCGUGGGUCGGAGUCCAGUGCCCCCUGGUGGCGCCGAGGCGGGCAGGCGGCUUCCGGACCGCGCGGAGGCCCGACGGCUGUGACUCAGGGGUGGCGCGGCUGCCAGGGCGGCGGGAGGCCUGACUGGGGUUCCGUCGUGGGCUGAGCCACGGCGCAAUUAAUUACCAGCUGCUGGGAAUCCUUGUCGCCCGCUCGCGGUGACUCACCCGGCAGCCAGGCUCACUUGCCUAGCGCGGGGGCCUUGGUUUCCAAAAUGAAUUCUGGGGAGAGUGCCUGCUAGGGGUGGGGCUCCCCGCUCCUGCGCCCCAGGGCGCCCGCAGACCCAGCGGGGACCUUAGGGCUCAGACGUAUCCCACAGCGCGGGCUCCCCUUCCCUGGUGGUCACCCGCGAGCCCUGGAAGUGGGGUGCAGAGCGUCCCAACUCGGGAGCCUCGUUGAAGCACUGGGGUCCCAGACCCUCUGGGCUCGGAGUCCCUGAGGCCUAGGAGGCCGAGCACGGCUCCCAGGGUCGACCCACAGAGGGGAUUGGUCUCCUGGAGCCCGCGAGCUGCGCAAGAGUUUGGUCUGAUUCCCCAGCCACCCCUUAGCCAGCUGCUAUCCCGCUGCCAGGCGACACUUUCCCAUCUCCAUCUCUUCCUUGGCUGGAGUCAAGAGAGAAAGGGGAGCCCCGGGGUCUCUGAGGCUUGGGUCUGUCGGUUUGGAACUCCACUGCUCCUGGCUGGACUGAGGAAGCUGGUGGUCAAGGGAAAGCCCCUUGAAAGCCUAAAGGGAGAGGGCGGGGAGGAGGAGGAGGCCGAAAUGGGAAGGAGAUAAAGCCUAGAGAGGCCUCAUCUGGAAGCAAGGAAUAGGUGCGUCCCGGCCCUAGCCUCGCGUUCCUACCCCCGGUGGUCCCGAGAAGGGCUACCGCGUGGCUCAGGGCUGCAUCCGGGGCGCAACUUGUGCCCAGCUGUGGGGAACCAGGGUGUUUUUUCUUUUCUUUUCUUUUUUUUCAGUAAAGCAACAGAGAGGGUAUUGGGUCGGGGGAUGGCGAUGUGUUUCCCCGCUGUCCU